rnacentral:rRNA from 1 species
GUGGGAACGUGCCCUUCGGUUCGGAAUAACUCAGGGAAACUUGAGCUAAUACCGGAUACGUGCGAGAGCAGAAAGAUUUAUCGCCGAAGGAUCGGCCCGCGUCCGAUUAGCUAGUUGGUGAGGUAACGGCUCACCAAGGCGACGAUCGGUAGCUGGUCUGAGAGGAUGAUCAGCCACAUUGGGACUGAGACACGGCCCAAACUCCUACGGGAGGCAUCAGCGGGGAAUAUUGGACAAUGGGCGCAAGCCUGAUCCAGCCAUGCCGCGUGAGUGAUGAAGGCCUUAGGGUUGUAAAGCUCUUUCGCCAGGGACGAUAAUGACGGUACCUGGAUAAGAAGCCCCGGCUAACUUCGUGCCAGCAGCCGCGGUAAUACGAAGGGGGCUAGCGUUGUUCGGAUUUACUGGGCGUAAAGCGCACGUAGGCGGAUUUUUAAGUCAGGGGUGAAAUCCCGAGGCUCAACCUCGGAACUGCCCUUGAUACUGGAAGUCUCGAGUCCGGGAGAGGUGAGUGGAACUGCGAGUGUAGAGGUGAAAUUCGUAGAUAUUCGCAAGAACACCAGUGGCGAAGGCGGCUCACUGGCCCGGUACUGACGCUGAGGUGCGAAAGCGUGGGGAGCAGACAGGAUUAGAUACCCUGGUAGUCCACGCCGUAAACGAUGGAUGCUAGCCGUUGGGGAGCUUGCUCUUCAGUGGCGCAGCUAACGCUUUAAGCAUCCCGCCUG